GAUGAACGCUGGCGGCGUGCCUAAUACAUGCAAGUCGAGCGAACGGACGAGAAGCUUGCUUCUCUGAUGUUAGCGGCGGACGUGUGAGUAACACGUGUAUAACCUACCUAUCAGACUGGUAUAACUUCGGGAAACCGGCGCUAAUACCGUAUAAUAUUUUGAACCGCAUGGUUCAAAAGUGAAAGACGGUCUUGCUGUCACUUCUAGAUGGAUCCGCGCUGCAUUAGCUAGUUGGUAAGGUAACGGCUUACCACGGCAACGAUGCAUAGCCGACCUGAGAGGGUGAUCGGCGACAUGGGAACUGAGACACGGUCCAGACUCCUACGGGAGGCAGCAGUAGGGAAUCUGCCGCAAUGGGCGAAAGCCUGACGGAGCAACGCCGCGUGAGUGAUGAAGGUCUUCGGAUCGUAAAACUCUGUUAUGAGGGAAGAACAUAUGUGUAAGUAACUGUGCACAUCGUGACGGUACCUAAUCAGAAAGCCACGGCUAACUACGUG
rnacentral:rRNA from 1 species